CCUACGGGAGGCAGCAGUGGGGAAUAUUGGACAAUGGGGGGAACCCUGAUCCAGCGACGCCGCGUGAGUGAAGAAGUAUUUCGGUAUGUAAAGCUCUAUCAGCAGGGAAGAAAAUGACGGUACCUGACUAAGAAGCCCCGGCUAACUACGUGCCAGGAGCCGCGGGAAUACGUAGGGGGCAAGCGUUAUCCGGAUUUACUGGGGGUAAAGGGAGCGUAGACGGUGCAGCAAGUCUGAUGUGAAAGGUCGGGGCCAAACCCCGGGACUGCAUUGGAAACUGUUGGACUGGAGAAGAGGAGAGGUAAGCGGAAGUCCUAGUGUAGCGGUGAAAUGCGUAGAUAUUGGGAGGAACACCAGUGGCGAAGGCGGCUUACUGGACUGUAACUGACGUUGAGGCUCGAAAGCGUGGGGAGCGAACAGGAUUAGAUACCCUUGUAGUC
rnacentral:rRNA from 1 species